CCUCAGCUGAAAACCUAGGGUGUGCGAAUGCAUUAUUCAGACGCUCCCCCCAUCUGCUCUUUAGCAGGAAAUGGUGUGACCGGAAAGUAGGUCUUUUUAAAUCUGAAUUAUUCAAACAAUUUGUGCACGUGACCAGGACCCAAGCCCGGGGGCCAUGCUCCAAGCCCGGCUUGAAAGGGUCUCAGGGCAGUGGGGGAGGCUCCCUUCCAGCCAAGCUUGGUCUGUUCCUUCCCUGGGUAGCCCUCCUGCCUUUCUUCUAGUCCGUGAACCGGAGCCUGACCCUGGCCCCCCCUCCCCUGGCCCCAGAGGACCGGACUGGGGCGGGGAAGGGACAGAGAGAGCACGGAAUGCAGGUCCUGCUCUGCGUCAGGCGGGCAUUUUACACUCCGGCCAGGCAGGUGCGGGCUGUGGGACUGUGACGGCCUUUCUGCAGCCUGCCGCACCUCUGGAGAGGACCCCUGGGGCCGAGCGCUGUUUGUCAAGAAUACUGUCCCUGAGGCCCAGCCCACCUGCCACCUGGGAGGUGAUGCAAGCGAGCACAAGCAAGGAGGUGGGGCAGAGGCAGAAUCAGACUCCGCGCCAAGCAGGGCGCCGGACGCGGGGCUGGACCCCCGGACCCGGGAUCGUGACUGGAGCUUCACCGACGGAGCCCCCGGAAGCCCCAGGCCCCAGGCUCUUGACGAGGCUGCGGACAGAAUGACCUCGGUGUGGUCACGUGCAAGCUGAGACUGAAGAGACUGAAGGAGAGAAGGGCCUCAGACCCCUCGGAGGAGCGGGGCACAAGCCCAGCUGCGAGCCCCUGGGGGCCGGCACCGUCACCAGUCGCCCGGCCGUGUCCCCAGACGCCAAGCCCAGAAGCCGCGGUUCCCCCGGUGCCCAGGGCCAUCCGGGGGCCGGGGGCCUUCUCUGCGGGCCUCGACCUUCAGGUCGGAGGCCAACCCAAGGCCCGCCGGGGCUCCACUCUUUGCGCAGUCGGCGCCCUGCCCCACUCUCCGCCGCCGCCGGAACGAAAGGGAGAUGCGGGUCUCUGCUUCUCUGACAAAAGUGGGACCGAAAAGGAGGUUUCCAGGGCACGGUUACGAGACGAGAAUCGGAGGGCGCACGGGCCGGCGGCCCAGGCGGCGACCCCUGCCUAGUCCCAAGCCCUGGACCUCCGACCCCAGACCCCAAACGCGGCUGGCGGACGCCGGGGGCCCGGCCGGCUCCACGCGGCUCACCAGCGCCGCCUAGUGCCGGCG